GAUUCAUUGAAUAAGAUGUAUAUAUACAUCGCUUAAUAUAGUAGUGUACAGAGGCUGAUUCUAACCUUCCUGUGAUACCAUGGAUAUCACGCUGGGCGGAAACGAAUAUCUUUUUGUGGCCUAUGCAUGUUUGGUUAGAGAAUGGAACGAUUCAAAGGAUACUAGAAUGUAAAAAUAGGUGAUGGCAUAUAGUAUAGAAUAAAGUGGACAGAUAUUGAUUAUUGAUUUCUAAUCAUUUUAAUCAAAUUUAAUGACUGUCUACAGAAUCACUCAGACCCCUGUAGCAACAAGGAUAAGAAAGGUAUGAGAUACUUAUAUAGGGACGUGUUUGAUAGAAGUUUUGAACAAAUAUAUUUGGAACAAAUAUAUUUUGUUCUUGAUGUUAUUUUGUCCUGAUGAAAACGAUGGUUCCCUUAUUGAUUUUCGUAUGAUUUUCUCUCUUUUUUUUUUUUUUUUUUUUUGAUAUGAUGAUAUGGAACCA